GGGGACACAUGUCACCCAUCUAGAGCCUCAAAAUCUCAUUUUCCCGCCAUUUUCCUAAUCUCUUGAUUUUCCUUAUGUAAUACCCGACGCGGGAUCCGAAUAAGCAAUUUGGGUCACUUAUUGUUCCUUCCAUCAUACGUCUCUCUUCUCCAUCUCUAAUCUUCAUUCACAUCCUAGGGUUUAUGCAACUUCAUUCGCACCUAUAUCCUUCUCAUCCAAUCGCAUCCAUUCGCACAUCAUUCUGCCGACAUCUUCCGAAACCUAAUGGAUCCUUCAGUCGUUCAAUCUGUCGUUCCAUCCAAGCCUAUACAAUCCAAUGUUCCAUCAGGUACGAUUCCUUUCCUCACAAAACCUAAUCCAAAAAAUUAUGCUCUGUCUGAAAUGUCGCUGCCAAAAUCUUAUCAAGGUGAGUUUAUAUGAUUUCAAUUACAAAAUCAUCGUCACAAAUCUCUUGGAUUUUUCUUAAUUUAGAACUUUACAACGUUGAAUUUCACCGUACAUAACGCAAGAUGGAUUGAGAUUGCUUAGCGAACAAAACCCUAAUUCAGAGCUAUGGAAGGGUCCUUUACCUGAUGUUGGAAGGAAUCUAAUUUUGAUGUUGCUAAUUGGGGCUAUAAAGUGUAUAUAUAGGGGCGGUCUGGUCAUAAAACCCAAACUUGCAAGGCCUGGCAGGGUUCCCGUUACCACCUGCGUGUGGGAUUGUGACGGGAAGUCAGUUGCACGUGGUAUUGGUGAUGACUCUAUACAGAUAUGGAGUAUAUAGCCUGGGAGGGAAAAUCGACCAGACAUUUAUGUAGCCAGUGACUAAAAGAAAUAAAUUACAGUUGUAUAUCAACACCAUAUUUGUCUUUUGAUGCAGGAAAUCAAGUGCUAUAGUUGAAGGUUAACAAGUAGGUUCCUCAUUCGACAAAGGAACAACAUGUUGGAAGGGUGCAGGAUAUUCAAGGAGCUCUACAAAUGAGAAAAAUGUACCUCCCAUCUAGAAGUGAGUCUAAUAUGUUGAUUAGGAUAAACUAUAUUAUAGGUUGCAUUGAAGUUUCAACACAAAAGCAACAAAGGAUGUAACAAUGAACCACCAUAUGAAUGGCAAGUUUACAAGUGAGCCUAUCAAAGCAACAGUGUUCAUGUGAAGAAGACUACCAACAGCGAUCAAGAAGAGUAACAGCCAAUGAAACAGCAUUAAUCAGUAGAUCUACAAUAGCGAGUCAAAAUCGAUUAAGCUGGCUCUGGUGUCCCUUUUUUAAUCAUAACGAAGCCAAAGAAUAUUGCAACUUGGUCGAUUAAACAAAGUUGUACGGAUCAAUGCGCUUAGUAGACGUGGUGAAGACAAGAACGAAUCAGAACCUAUGUGGUGCGGAAGAAGCCUGUGUGAAGUCGAGCAAUAACUAUGUGAACAACACCUAUUGAAUAUGUGUUAUAUUGGUUUGAGCCAAAAUCAAGAAUCCGAUAUGCGUGAAGAAACUAAAUCCGUAUGAUAAGCGGCAACCUAAGAUCUUUUUAUGCAUUUAAAGUAAAAUUCGAGUUGCUGUCAACCCAUUUUUCCAUACCAGUUAGGACAAUGAACUAAGGAGAACUUUGCAGUCACUUGCUUGUGGGAAAAUUUGCGUCCUUCAAAAGUCUUUGACAGGGAUAUAAAAUAUGGCUAUAGAAUGUCCUAAAACAAGCCAUGCCAGGUUCAAGCUGAUAAAAAUCCUAAUGACCCUCAAUCUAUCAAGAGAUGCAUUGAAGUAAUCGUUGCUGUGUGAAUAUGAAUACUUUUAGAGGAACAUAUGUAAUUAUACCUGUGUGUAGAUAAUCCUUGCUGUGAGUAUUUGUGGUGCAUUGAAAUCCUAUACAUGAUCCAUUUAGUAUUGUCUUUUCUUCAUUUGUAAAUUAUAAUUGUAAUUUAACUUUUUAUGUAAUUUCAUUUAUAUUUCGUUAA